UAAACGCCUUGUAAACACGUCACUAAUUCAUUAAUGAGUUAAGUUCUCGCGCCCCUCUAGUGGGUGAACGUGGAAGAUAGCUACAUGCUCCGGCAAUCAUAUCUGAGUGGUCAAAAAAAAAAACUAUAAAAUAUUAAAUAUCGUAUUUUUUAACUAAUAUGUCAACACAAUUUAUUCAGGGACUAACCGUGUGGAAAAAGCUGCAAACUGCGAAUUAUGUCGCGUGACGUUUCCCCUCCAUCUUUUUAGGAGGUUGUCAGUUUCGUAGGCAAAGGAGUUGGCGCAGGCGCGGCACUGACAGAGGCUCUCUACCUGCUCCGCAGUGUGUGUAAUAAUGGCCUGGAAAUCAGGAGGAGCCAGCCACGCAGAGCUUGUAAACAACCUUCGCAAAAAUGGGAUCAUCAAGUCAGACAAGGUCUAUGAAGUCAUGUUGGCCACAGACCGAGGCCAUUUCUCCAGAAGCAACCCCUACAUGGACUCCCCACAGUCAAUAGGCUAUCAAGCAACCAUCAGUGCGCCACACAUGCACGCCUAUGCGUUGGAGCUACUGCAUGAUCAGCUGUAUGAUGGGGCCAAAGCUCUGGAUGUUGGGUCUGGCAGUGGAAUCCUAUCUGCAUGCUUUGCACGAAUGGUAGGUCCCAAAGGCAAGGUGAUAGGAAUUGACCACAUCAAGGAACUGGUAGAUGAUUCUAUUAACAAUGUAAAUAAAGAUGACCCCAGCUCGAUAACAUCUGGUCGAGUCAAACUAAUAGUGGGAGACGGGCGGAUGGGCCAUCCAGAGGAGGCGCCUUAUGAUGCCAUCCACGUGGGCGCGGCAGCACCCAACGUGCCACAAGCACUCCUGGACCAGCUGAAGCCAGGCGGCAGGCUGAUUCUGCCCGUGGGGCCGGCUGGAGGGAACCAGAUGCUGGAGCAGUACGACAAGCUGGAGGAUGGCAGCACCAAGAUGAAGCCCCUGAUGGGGGUGAUUUACGUGCCUUUAACAGACAAAGAGAAGCAGUGGUCCAGGUGGAAGUGACUUCCUACUCUCUCUCCCCCCUCUCUCCUUCACACAGUGGGCAACGGUGAAAUGGGAUGAACUUUGAGGCGACAGACUGUCCAUAUUCCACAUUUCAAUGUGAACCUGGAGGAGACUACUUUGGGUUCCAACAACAGCCAUUGGAUUUCUUUGAAAACAACAAACCAUGGUGAUUUUGUUUUUUCUCCUUUAACUCUACCUAGAGUAUCAUGCUGAGGAAUAACCCCUGAGGUCGGAAUAACGACUGCUGGAGAAUGAACAGAAGAAUGUGUCGGGGAUUGUUUAAAAUAUAUAUAUUGGCCUGCAUUUUUUGGGUUGUGAAUUUUCCUUUUGAUUUGCUGCAAGAUUGAGUUUUUGUGGUUACAUCUUGAUUUGCAAAUCAACCAUUUCAGCUCCAAACAAAGCUGAGUGUAAAGACUGUUGUGAUGAGGAAAGCCUGAGUUGAAGAGAUUAUUCAGCCACUUACUUUAGAGUGCAUCUGAAGAUCUGACUAGAUAUCUGUACUGCUGCUCUGCUAACAUAUAUCAGCGUCGUCACCUAAUAGGAAGUGAAUGGGCAAUGAUGUAUUGGGUUAUUUAGGAGUCACAUAUUGUAAGAAUAGAAGAUGUUUCUUAACAAUUCUACAUUCAUGUGGAUGUUAUGGGUGAUCUUGAACAAAUUGUGAAUAGUGAUGAGUGAGAAGGUUACAGGUACAAAGACCCCCCCCCUAAAUUAUAACCUCUGUUAUUGGUAAUGGUGAGAGAUUCGCAUGUUUUGUUGCAGCCUUUGUAACCUUCUCACUCAUUAUUCAUGAUUCAUUCAUGAUUUUUCUUAAUCAUGAUAUUAUCAGGAUUAAUGUAGAAGGGUUCAGAAACAUCUUCAUUACUCACUUUGAAAGAAAAUUACAUUCUUCAUUCAGUUCUAUUGGUCAAAACAUAACCAAAACAACCUGCAAAUGCAUCACAGGUUUGUAUAGUCACAAGCUUGAUGUAGUCAAGCGUUAAGAAUUAUACUCAACUUUUGACUACUUUAAUACACUAUAAGCCCAUUUGUCCAAAUACUUACAUAGUGCUUUCCUUUCUAAACUAGUAAAACAAAUAUGAAAACACCCUAAAAUAAACAGUGACAUUCUAUAAUGUUGCCUCAUAUGAAACAUUUGAUCUCAAAUCCAAAAUGCUGAAGUACAGACCCACAUUUAAAAUGUUAGUUUCACUGUCCAAAUACAUAUGGGAGUGAGUGUGUAUAUACACAUGUGAACACGUGCACACAUUCAGGGUUGUGAUUUCCCCCAUGAUUUAUUGUGUGCUGCCUCUGGUGUCCAUGACCAGACUGCAAGCUUUACUGAUUACUGACACUAAACAAAGCAGAGCCAUACAUACAAUAUAUAUAUAUGUGUGAGUGUGAAACAAGGUAGCCGGUGCGUUGCCAAAAUACAUUUUAAUGCAAAGUGAUUGAAUGUCUGUUUAAAAAUAUUGGAUGAGCUAUGGCUUUCACAAUUUCUGGAAUGGCAAAAAUGAAAAUAAAAAUAUGCUUAUG